CUGAGAGAGUAGUUAUUGAUAGUGACAUCGUUAUCUCCUCAUCUACAGUAUCUAUAGUACUUAAAUCUCAUUUUCUUCUACACAAGCAAUCCGUCACUUUGGGAUUUCCUCUAUAAUCAUCAAACUGUCCAAAUCAAACGGUUCAUAAAUUCUAUUAUAAUAUCUAUUUUCAACAAAAUUAGUCAGUUAUUUUGAGGGGUUUUGACUGAUGAAGAUGAUACAAGAGAUGAAAUAGUAAAUCAGCUAUUUCUUUCUAGUAAGAAUAUACAAGAUAUAUACCAAAGAGUCAAUUCGCUGAUGAUCACAGAAGAGUAAAUUGAUGGGUGAGAUCAGAGGGUGAUAAUUGAAUAGAUGUAUCAUGCAGGG
rnacentral:sRNA from 1 species